rnacentral:lncRNA from 1 species
AUGGUUGGCUACUCUCUUGAUCCAGAAAACCCUACAAAAGCAUGCAGAUCAAGAGGUUCAAAUCUCCGUUCACUUAAGAACACUGCCGAGGCCAUCAAGGGUAUACACAUCCGGAAAGCCAUCAAGUGUCUGUAAGAUGGCACUUUGAAGAAGCCAAGGGUGCGGUUCCGGAGGUAUAAUGGUGGCGUUUGUAAGUGUGUCCAGGCCAAAAGGUAGGGCUGAACACGGGGUCAGGGGCCAAAAAUAGAAUGCUGAAUUUUUGCUGCUCGGCACUCAAAAAUGCAGAGAAUAAGACUGAACGUACAGGUUUAUAGUCAUUAAACAUGUCCAGUGAAGAAAGCGCCUAAGAUACGCGAGUCCCUUACAGAGCUCAUGGUCGAACUAACCCGUACAGGAGCUCCCCUGCCACAUGGAGUUGACCCUCAUUGAAAAGGAAAAAAUUGUCCCAAAGCGAGAAGAGGGAGUUGCACAGAAGAAAAAGAUAUUUCAGAAGAAACUGAAGAAACAAAAAUGGCACGGGAAUAA